AGGUAGGGUGGCCGAGUAGGUGGCGGGCUGUAAAUCCGCCGACGGGGCACGCUUAAACCCCCCCUUCCAA
rnacentral:tRNA from 1 species